CAGCAGCCGCGGGAAUACGUAGGUCCCGAGCGUUGUCCGGAUUUAUUGGGCGUAAAGGGAGCGCAGGCGGGCAUGUAAGUCUUUCUUAAAAGUUCGGGGCUCAACCCCGUGAUGGGAAAGAAACUACAUGUCUUGAGUACAGGAGAGGAAAGCGGAAUUCCCAGUGUAGCGGUGAAAUGCGUAGAUAUUGGGAGGAACACCAGUGGCGAAGGCGGCUUUCUGGACUGCAACUGACGCUGAGGCUCGAAAGCCAGGGGAGCGAACGGGAUUAGAUACCCCUGUAGUCCCUGUCUCUUAUACA
rnacentral:rRNA from 1 species